rnacentral:rRNA from 1 species
CUUUUCUUGGUUGAAUUUGAAGUAUGACCUGCCCGCUGAAUUGUUUUGAAGGGCCGCGGUAUUUUGACCGUGCAAAGGUAGCAUAAUAAUUUGUCUUUUAAUUGGGGGCUGGAAUGAAUGGUUUAAUGAAAUAUAAUCUGUCUUGAUGUAAAUGAUAUUAGAAUUUAAUUAUUAUGUGAAAAAGCGUAAAUGUUUUUAUGGGACGAGAAGACCCUUUAGAAUUUAAUAAUUUGGUAUAGAUUGUUUUAAGGUUUAUAUAUGAUGUAUGUUGAAUUAUUUUGUUGGGGUGAUGGAAAAAUAUUAAUAACUUUUUUUUUUGUUUAAUAUUUAUUUAUAGUUGUGGGAUCCUUGUUUGUGAAUAUAAGAUUAAAUUACCUUAGGGAUAACAGCGUAAUAUUUAUUGAGAGUUCAAAUUGACAUAAAGGGUUGCGA